rnacentral:lncRNA from 1 species
UGAGUUAACCCAUCUAGAGCAAGCUCUAGUCAGGGAUACAGAGUACAGAGUACAUGAGUACAGAGUACAGAGCUAGUGCAUGCACAGGUUAAGCCUUGGUUCAGAAAAGAGUUUUAUUUUCACAGAAAAUGUAUGAUCAUGUAUGAGGUUUACAGGUACACAGAGAGUAUAGCAGGCUUGCUACGGGUUCUGGCGGCCUUAAGCCGAC